rnacentral:rRNA from 1 species
AUUGAACGCUGGCGGCAGGCCUAACACAUGCAAGUCGAACGGUAACAGGAAGAAGCUUGCUUCUUUGCUGACGAGGGGCGGGCGGGUGAGAAAUGUCUGGGAAACUGCUUGAUGGAGGGGGAUAACUACUGGAAACGGUAGCUAAUACCGCAUAACUUCUCAAGACCAAAGAGGGGUACCUACGGGCGGCUUGCCAGCGUAUGCUCCCAGAUGGGGUUAGCUAGUAGGUGGGGGAACGGCUCACCGAGGCGACGAUCCCUAGCGGGUCUGAGAGGAUGACCGGCCACACUGGAACUGAGACACGGUCCAGACUCCUACGGGAGGCAGCAGUGGGGAAUAUUGCACAAUGGGCGCAAGCCUGAUGCAGCCAUGCCGCGUGUAUGAAGAAGGCCUUCGGGUUGUAAAGUACUUUCAGCGGGGAGGAAGGGAGUAAAGUUAAUACCUUUGCUCAUUGACGUUACCCGCAGAAGAAGCCCCGGCUAACUCCGUG